AGCUUAUCAGGCUCUACCAGACACUGACUCCAGCGCAUGGAGAGUGGAGAGAGCCCAGGCGCAGUGAAGAGUGAGGGAGAGUGGCGGAGUGGUAGAUAAUUAUACCGCAGCGGGGCUAAAACUACCAGAGGCAGAGGAGCACAAAGAUUUACAGACAGAUACAGAGGAGUCUGUUGUGAAGGUGAAACGCAGACAAAUCGUUUACUGACACGUACAUCCAAGGAGCAUGUUCAACUAUCUGUUGAUAGUUAAGGCACUGAAAACAGACAAUUAUCAUCUCAUUACCACUCCACUCCUUCACUGUAAUCCUG
rnacentral:lncRNA from 1 species